CACGAAGGUCCCAAGCGUUGUUCGGAAUUACUGGGCGUAAAGCGUGCGUAGGCGGCAGAGUUAGUCAGAUGUGAAAUCCCGGGGCUCAACCCCGGAACUGCAUCCGAUACUGCAUUGCUAGAGUAAUGGAGGGGCAUCUGGAAUUCAUGGUGUAGCAGUGAAAUGCGUGGAUAUCAUGAGGAACACUAGUGGCGAAGGCGAGAUGCUGGACAUUGACUGACGCUGAGGUACGAAGGCCAGGGUAGCGAAAAGG
rnacentral:rRNA from 1 species